CGCUGGCGGCGGUGCCUAAUACAUGCAAGUCGAGCGGACAGAAGGGAGCUUGCUCCCGGAUGUAGCGGCGGACGGGUGAGUAACACGUGGGUAACCUGCCUGUAAGACUGGGAUAACUCCGGGAAACCGGAGCUAAUACCGGAUAGUUCCUGAACCGCAUGGUUCAAGGAUGAAAGACGGUUUCGGCUGUCACUUACAGAUGGACCCGCGGCGCAUUAGCUAGUUGGUGGGGUAAUGGCUCACCAAGGCGACGAUGCGUAGCCGACCUGAGAGGGUGAUCGGCCACACUGGGACUGAGACACGGCCCAGACUCCUACGGGAGGCAGCAGUAGGGAAUCUUCCGCAAUGGACGAAAGUCUGACGGAGCAACGCCGCGUGAGUGAUGAAGGUUUUCGGAUCGUAAAGCUCUGUUGUUAGGGAAGAACAAGUGCGAGAGUAACUGCUCGCACCUUGACGGUACCUAACCAGAAAGCCACGGCUAACUACGUGCCAGCAGCCGCGGUAAUACGUAGGUGGCAAGCGUUGUCCGGAAUUAUUGGGCGUAAAGGGCUCGCAGGCGGUUUCUUAAGUCUGAUGUGAAAGCCCCCGGCUCAACCGGGGAGGGUCAUUGGAAACUGGGAAACUUGAGUGCAGAAGAGGAGAGUGGAAUUCCACGUGUAGCGGUGAAAUGCGUAGAGAUGUGGAGGAACACCAGUGGCGAAGGCGACUCUCUGGUCUGUAACUGACGCUGAGGAGCGAAAGCGUGGGGAGCGAACAGGAUUAGAUACCCUGGUAGUCCACGCCGUAAACGAUGAGUGCUAAGUGUUAGGGGGUUUCCGCCCCCUUAGUGCUGCAGCUAACGCAUUAAGCACU
rnacentral:rRNA from 1 species